GCCCAGGUGGCGGAAUUGGUAUACGCGUAUGCUUGAGGUGCAUAUGCCGCAAGGCUUGGAGGUUCGAGUCCUCUCCUGGGCACAA
rnacentral:tRNA from 1 species